rnacentral:rRNA from 1 species
ACUCCUACGGGAGGCAGCAGUGGGGAAUAUUGCACAAUGGGGGAAACCCUGAUGCAGCCAUGCCGCGUGUGUGAAGAAGGCCUUCGGGUUGUAAAGCACUUUCAGUAGGGAGGAAGGUAGUGUAGUUAACACCUGCAUUAUUUGACGUUACCUACAGAAGAAGCACCGGCUAACUCCGUGCCAGCAGCCGCGGUAAGUACGGAGGGUGCGAGCGUUAAUCGGAAUUACGUGGGCGUAAAGCGCAUGCAGGCGGCCUGUUAAGUCAGAUGUGAAAGCCCGGGGCUUAACCUCGGAAUUGCAUUUGAAACUGGCAGGCUAGAGUCUUGUAGAGGGGGUUAGAAGUUUCAGGUGUAGCGGUGAAAUGCGUAGAGAUCUGAAGGAAUACCGAGUGGCGAAGGCGGCCCCUGGACAAAGACUGACGCUCAGAUGCGAAAGCGUGGGAGCAAACAGGAUUAGAUACCCCUGGUAGACUGUCA